rnacentral:rRNA from 1 species
UACGUAGGGUGCGAGCGUUGUCCGGAAUUAUUGGGCGUAAAGCGCGUGUAGGCGGCUUUGCAAGUCGGGUGUGAAAGCCCUCAGCUCAACUGAGGAAGUGCGCCCGAAACUGCAGAGCUUGAGUACCGGAGAGGAUGGUGGAAUUCCCCAAGUAGAGGUGAAAUUCGUAGAUAUGGGGAGGAACACCGGUGGCGAAAGCGGCUCUCUGGCCCGGAUCUGACGCUGAGGCGCGAAAGCGUGGGGAGCAAACAGG